rnacentral:antisense_RNA from 1 species
AGGUCAGGAAAGCCUGAACUUUCUCAUCCAACACCUGUUCAAGUCGGAGGAUGCUGAUUAAUUCAUGAUGGAAAGGUAUCAAUUUCACAGCCCAGACCUCUACAUUCUUGAAAUGCUCUUCUCAUGGGAGACAUUAAAUAAGCUUUGAAUUAACUUGCCAUGACACCCAGGAUGCAGCUGUAGGAACACCACUGGGUCCCUGGAUGUCAUGUAAGCCCUUAAGUAAAAGUGCCAUCAAAUGAUUUCUCAGAAAUUAUAAAGAAACAAAAGGACCAUAAACAAGAUAAGGUGGCAUGAGGAAACAUUACAAGUACCUUUCAGAGCUGACUGGCAAAGAAACUCCUGAGGUGAUGGUUCUACCCCAAUAUUACUUCUUCCAAGAGCAACCUAACUGACCUUGUAUUGAAGACAGCGUAACCCCCAAGAGGAAAGGAGCUUGGAGCCCUGAAUCAGAGUAGAAGACAGGCUGAAUGAAUACCAGCCUUGGACUGUUAUGUGAAUGAAAAACAAGUUUUGAGAUUUGUGUGGUUUAUUUAUUAUAGUUACUGUUAUUAUUAAAGUUUUUCACUGCUUUACUCUCAG